CUCUAUGCAAGUGUGAUUUGAGAUCCAUCAAUCCCCAUAGUUGGCUUUGUUUUUUUUGUUUUUUUGUGAAUCUUUACUUUACAAGGACUCCACGCUAUAAAAGUCACGAAAAUCAGAACCGCAAUGACAGAAAGGAGAGUCAUUUUUGCCUGUGAUUUCAAAAAUAAAACGCCCGGUCAACAUCUAUGGAAUUUGAUCUUCUUGUUUUCAAUUGUGCUUGCAAUCAUGAUGAUGAUGACAGAUCAAAAUCAAAUAAUUGCUCCCACUAAAAUCGCUUACAUCAAGGAAAUUACUCACCCAAUGGAACCCCUCAACGUCUCGCAUCCAAGAUGGAAUUUAGACCAAAUGCAUGAUGAUUGGCGUAAGGGAAAGAUCCAAGGUCAUACCAUAUUUGUUUACUCUGCUUUCUUGGAUGAGCGAAAUGCCUCUUACCCGUUCAUUCGAGUUUUAAGUGCUUCCCCUCAGAAUUACGCUCUUGACUUACCCCACAUCGUUUGUGACAUUUUUCAAGAGGACGGCCAACUGCUGGCUACGUUGCCUAUUAAUAUUCAGUUUCGGCAUUGCUGUGAGAAGAAGCCUUACUUUUUCCUAAGUUAUGAAUGUGACCUCUCCCGAACGUCCAAAUCAAUCCGACUAGCGGCUGAAUGGGUCAGCCUGAAGAGCAUAAAUCCGCCUGAUCAAACUAACACCUCAACGCCAAACCUAAAGAUUCAUACAUUACCACGCCUGAAUUCAAAGGAUAUUGCAGGAACGUUUGUGGUUUGCGUAAGACCGUUCUUUCGCAACUGGAAUUCCACUUUUCAAUUGAUCGAAUUCUUAGAGAUGUACAAGAUUUUAGGGGUCUCUCAUUUUGUGUUUUAUGAUUACCAAAUUGGCAAGGGGGCUAAAAUUGUUUUGAACCAUUACGAGGCCCAAGGUUUGGUCACUGUCCUUCAAUGGACUCUUAAGCUCUCUACCCAACACAUUUUAGCAAUCGGUCAAAUCGUCUCCAUCAAUGAUUGCAAGAUGAGAGCCAUUAAUCGUUUCGAGUUUCUUAUCCACGUGGACGUUGAUGAGUUUCUUUUACCAAGAAAUGACCUCAUGAGUUUAAUGAUCUAGUUAAGACCAUCCAUCAGGAGGGUGCAAAACGAAAUACUUCAGACAUUGGCUCUUACGCCUUCCAGAAUGAACUUUUUCCUAAGGAUUUCAGUGAAGCUCAGAUUGUUAUUCAGGAGUUCGUCAAAAGCCACCCAGGAAUUACUUUGGAUAAGAUGAUGUACAAAUUACGGACACAAGCACUCGUUCAUAAGUUGACAACAUUCUUCCCUUUUCCAAAGAGAUCCAAAUAUAUAGCUCGCCCAAAUGCCACUGAUUUCUUAACCAUGCAUCUUGUCGCAGAUUUUUCCAUGGGAUAUAGGAACUACAUCGUUCCUCUUCAUCUGGGAUCAUCUCAGCAUUAUCGGGAAUGCUUAGGAGGAUCAGAAGACGUUUGUCAAAAGAUGAAAAAAGAACUGGACACCAACGGAUGGAAGUGGUCCCAUGUCUUGAUUCCAGCAGUUCAAAGGGCAUGCCUGCAACUCCGUUCCCAAAACAUAGAAGGUUGUUUAAAAGCAAAUCUGGAGGAUUGAUCAAACAUUUGUCAUAUUAAUAAAUCAUCGUCGCAUUGGUAAAUUCAUAGCCAAGUGAAUGGUAACGUGUUGGUGUGAACAGAUCUUUCACAAUUUCACAUCACAAUAGUUUAGGUUAGGUUAGGGCUAGCCUUGCCACGAUUUCAAAUGUGAGCCACCUGGGUGGUUUUUCCUCUUUCCUGGGACGUCCUAGGACGCGUUUUUGCAUGUGUCUUUGAAGGGGGAUCGAGAACGCCUCC